AACGGCGAGUGAAGCGGCAACAGCUCAAAUUUGAAAUCUGGCCCCCUCGGGGUCCGAGUUGUAAUUUGUAGAGGGUGCUUUGGCGCAGGCGGCGGUCUAAGUUCCUUGGAACAGGACGUCACAGAGGGUGAGAAUCCCGUACGUGGCUGCCCGCCUUCGCCGUGUAAAGCCCCUUCGACGAGUCGAGUUGUUUGGGAAUGCAGCUCUAAAUGGGAGGUAAAUUUCUUCUAAAGCUAAAUACCGGCCAGAGACCGAUAGCGCACAAGUAGAGUGAUCGAAAGAUGAAAAGCACUUUGGAAAGAGAGUCAAAAAGCACGUGAAAUUGUUGAAAGGGAAGCGCUUGCAGCUAGACUUGCCUCCGGUCGCUCACCCGGGCCCUCGCCCGGGGCACUCUUCCGUUGGCAGGCCAGCAUCAGUUCGGGCGGCGUGAUAAAGGCGCGGUAAACGUACCUCUCCUCGGGGAGGACUUAUAGGCCGCGCGACAUACCGCCAGCCCGGACUGAGGACCGCGCUUCUGCGAGGAUGCUGGCGUAAUGGCUGUAAGCGGCCCGUCUUGAAACACGGACCAAGGAGUCUAACAUCUAUGCGAGUGUUUGGGUGUCAAGCCCGGGCGCGCAAUGAAAGUGAACGGAGGUGGGAACCCCUCGGGGCGCACCAUCGACCGAUCCUGAUGUCUUCGGAUGGAUUUGAGUAAGAGCAUAGCUGUUGGGACCCGAAAGAUGGUGAACUAUGCCUGAAUAGGGUGAAGCCAGAGGAAACUCUGGUGGAGGCUCGCAGCGGUUCUGACGUGCAAAUCGAUCGUCAAAUUUGGGCAUAGGGGCGAAAGACUAA
rnacentral:rRNA from 1 species